rnacentral:tRNA from 1 species
GGUGGCUCAGUGGUAGAGUGCUUGCCUUGCAUGCAUAAGGCCCAGGGUUCAAUUCCUCGGCACCA